rnacentral:rRNA from 1 species
AUUGAACGCUGGCGGCAUGCCUUACACAUGCAAGUCGAACGGCAGCGGACCUUCGGGUGCCGGCGAGUGGCGAACGGGUGAGUAAUAUAUCGGAACGUACCUUUCAGUGGGGGAUAACGUAGCGAAAGUUACGCUAAUACCGCAUAUUCUGUGAGCAGGAAAGCAGGGGAUCGCAAGACCUUGCGCUGAUUGAGCGGCCGAUAUCAGAUUAGCUAGUUGGUGAGGUAAAGGCUCACCAAGGCGACGGAUCUGUAGCGGGUCUGAGAGGAUGAUCCGCCACACUGGAACUGAGACACGGUCCAGACUCCUACGGGAGGCAGCAGUGGGGAAUUUUGGACAAUGGGCGCAAGCCUGAUCCAGCCAUGCCGCGUGAGUGAAGAAGG